CACGUAGGGCGCAAGCGUUGUCCGGAAUUAUUGGGCGUAAAGAGCUCGUAGGCGGUCUGUUGCGUCCGCUGUGAAAACCCGGGGCUUAACCCCUGGCUUGCAGUGGAUACGGACAGACUAGAGGUAGGUAGGGGAGAAUGGAAUUCCCGGUGUAGCGGUGAAAUGCGCAGAUAUCAGGAAGAACACCUAUGGCGAAGGCAGCUCUCUGGGACGGUACUGACGCUGAGACGCGAAAAGCGUGGGGGAGCGAACAGG
rnacentral:rRNA from 1 species